UAAGCGGAGGAAAAGAAACCAACCGGGAUUGCCUUAGUAACGGCGAGUGAAGCGGCAAAAGCUCAAAUUUGAAAUCUGGUACCUUCGGUGCCCGAGUUGUAAUUUGGAGAGGGCAACUUUGGGGCCGUUCCUUGUCUAUGUUCCUUGGAACAGGACGUCAUAGAGGGUGAGAAUCCCGUGUGGCGAGGAGUGCGGUUCUUUGUAAAGUGCCUUCGAAGAGUCGAGUUGUUUGGGAAUGCAGCUCUAAGUGGGUGGUAAAUUCCAUCUAAAGCUAAAUAUUGGCGAGAGACCGAUAGCGAACAAGUACAGUGAUGGAAAGAUGAAAAGAACUUUGAAAAGAGAGUGAAAAAGUACGUGAAAUUGUUGAAAGGGAAGGGCAUUUGAUCAGACAUGGUGUUUUGUGCCCUCUGCUCCUUGUGGGUAGGGGAAUCUCGCAUUUCACUGGGCCAGCAUCAGUUUUGGUGGCAGGAUAAAUCCAUAGGAAUGUAGCUUGCCUCGGUAAGUAUUAUAGCCUGUGGGAAUACUGCCAGCUGGGACUGAGGACUGCGACGUAAGUCAAGG
rnacentral:rRNA from 1 species